UACGAAGGGGGCUAGCGUUGCUCGGAAUCACUGGGCGUAAAGGGUGCGUAGGCGGGUCUUUAAGUCGAGGGUGAAAUCCUGGAGCUCAACUCCAGAACUGCCUUUGAUACUGAGGAUCUUGAGUUCGGGAGAGGUGAGUGGAACUGCGAGUGUAGAGGUGAAAUUCGUAGAUAUUCGCAAGAACACCAGUGGUGAAGGCGGCUCACUGGCCCGAUACUGACGCUGAGGCACGAAAGCGUGGGGAGCAAACAGG
rnacentral:rRNA from 1 species